rnacentral:rRNA from 1 species
UACGUAGGGGGCGAGCGUUGUCCGGAAUCAUUGGGCGUAAAGCGCGUGUAGGCGGCCCGGUAAGUCCGCUGUGAAAGUCCAGGGCUCAACCCUGGGAUGCCCGGUGGAUACUGUCGGGCUCGAGUCCGGAAGAGGCGAGUGGAAUUCCUGGUGUAGCAGUGAAAUGCGCAGAUAUCAGGAGGAACACCAAUGGCGAAGGCAGCUCGCUGGGACGUGACUGACGCUGAGACGCGAAAGCGUGGGGAGCAAACAGG